rnacentral:rRNA from 1 species
AGGGAAUCUUCCGCAAUGGACGAAAGUCUGACGGAGCAACGCCGCGUGAGUGAUGAAGGCCUUCGGGUCGUAAAACUCUGUUGUCAGGGAAGAAUAAGUACCGGAGUAACUGCCGGUACCUUGACGGUACCUGACCAGAAAGCCACGGCUAACUACGUGCCAGCAGCCGCGGUAAUACGUAGGUGGCAAGCGUUGUCCGGAAUUAUUGGGCGUAAAGCGCGCGCAGGCGGUCCUUAAGUCUGAGGUGAAAGCCCACGGCUCAACCGUGGAGGGUCAUUGGAAACUGGGGGACUUGAGUGCAGAAGAGGAAAGCGGAAUUCCACGGGUAGCGGUGAAAUGCGUAGAGAUGUGGAGGAACACCAGUGGCGAAGGCGGCUUUCUGGUCUGUAACUGACGCUGAGGCGCGAAAGCGUGGGGAGCAAAC